AGUCUUAAUUUGAUAGCCAAGGAUGACUUGCUUACACCCUUGGCAGAAUAUCUCCUUUUUUUGGUUUGUAAGCAAGCUCCAUGGCUAGCUGAUGGGCUCU
rnacentral:pre_miRNA from 1 species